GUCAAACACUUGCCCUGCCCUCUGCCUCUGGUUACCCAGAUCGCUUACGAAGUUUAAAGAUACAACCGUAUUGGCUUUAUGGUCGUUGUUUUCAGAAGUUCAGAGCCAAAUCGGCGGUUCCCAAAUUAUUUGGUGAUUUUUUUACGUGCUAUUCACUAUCAGUAUGCAGUGGGUAGUGUUGUGUUAAUUUCGUCUGUAAUCUACUAUAUGGCAUUAGAAUUUAAGAGUGUAGCUAUUUACCUGUGCCCUUCAAAGAAGAAAUUGGUGUGAGCAGCAUCUUUGAAACUACCAAUAUUCCCAUGAUGAAUCCUUUGAAGGCUUCCAAAAGCAUUCCAGUGAACUCCCUUCAGCUUCAAAAGAACUGGAAGUUAGCCCGCUCCUCCCAGCUCAGCUCACCCUCUCCAACUGAAUCAGAUACAGUGAUCCCUUCUUCAAACCCCAACUCGCCAGACUUUGUACCCUCUUAAUGUCCAUCAGG